AGCUCUGUAGUUCAAUUGGAUAGAAUACUCCUCUUAUAAAGGAUUGGUUGCGGGUUCGAAUCCCGCCGGGG
rnacentral:tRNA from 1 species